rnacentral:rRNA from 1 species
UACGUAGGGCGCAAGCGUUAUCCGGAAUUAUUGGGCGUAAAGAGCUCGUAGGCGGUUUGUCGCGUCUGCCGUGAAAGUCCGGGGCUCAACUCCGGAUCUGCGGUGGGUACGGGCAGACUAGAGUGAUGUAGGGGAGACUGGAAUUCCUGGUGUAGCGGUGAAAUGCGCAGAUAUCAGGAGGAACACCGGUGGCGAAGGCGGGAUCCUGGGCCAGUACUGACGCUGAGGAGCGAAAGCGUGGGGAGCAA